rnacentral:piRNA from 1 species
UACUCUACCGUUUUUGUGAAA